ACCCCGAUCAGUUUCCCUACAUUGAUC
rnacentral:piRNA from 1 species